UACAGAGGGGGCAAGCGUUGUUCGGAAUUACUGGGCGUAAAGGGCGCGUAGGCGGCCUGUUAAGUCGAACGUGAAAUCCCCGGGCUCAACCCGGGAACUGCGUCCGAUACUGUCGGGCUCGAGUCCGGAAGAGGCGAGUGGAAUUCCUGGUGUAGCGGUGAAAUGCGCAGAUAUCAGGAGGAACACCAAUGGCGAAGGCAGCUCGCUGGGACGUGACUGACGCUGAGACGCGAAAGCGUGGGGAGCAAACAGG
rnacentral:rRNA from 1 species